GACGGGGGGGGGCAAGUGUUCUUCGGAAUGACUGGGCGUAGAGGGCACGUAGGCGGUGAAUCGGGUUGAAAGUGAAAGUCGCCAAAAAGUGGCGGAAUGCUCUCGAAACCAAUUCACUUGAGUGAGACAGAGGAGAGUGGAAUUUCGUGUGUAGGGGUGAAAUCCGUAAAUAUACGAAGGAACGCCAAAAGCGAAGGCAGCUCUCUGGGUCCCUACCGACGCUGGGGUGCGAAAGCAUGGGGAGCGAACAGG
rnacentral:rRNA from 1 species